rnacentral:rRNA from 1 species
GCCUCCCUCCGCGCCAUCAGACUCCUACGGGAGGCAGCAGUGGGGAAUCUUGCACAAUGGGCGAAAGCCUGAUGCAGCAAUGCCGCGUGAGUGAUGAAGGCCUUCGGGUUGUAAAUCUCUGUCGGCUGGGAAAAACGGAUCUAUGGCUAAUAUCCAUAGGUAGUGGUGGUACCAGCAAAGGAAGAGGCGGCUAACUCUGUGCCAGCCGCCGCGGUAAUAC